CAGCAGCCGCGGGAAUACGAAGGGGGCUAGCGUUGCUCGGAAUGACUGGGCGUAAAGGGCGCGUAGGCGGCUUGUACAGUCAGAUGUGAAAUUCCUGGGCUUAACCUGGGGGCUGCAUUUGAUACGUGCGGGCUAGAAUGUGAAAGAGGGUCGUGGAAUUCCCAGUGUAGAGGUGAAAUUCGUAGAUAUUGGGAAGAACACCGGUGGCGAAGGCGGCGACCUGGUUCAUGAUUGACGCUGAGGCGCGAAAGCGUGGGGAGCAAACAGGAUUAGAUACCCGCGUAGUCCCUGUCUCUUAUAA
rnacentral:rRNA from 1 species